UUUAUACUCAAAAUCGUUAUGCAGGUUGUUUCUUAAACCCAUUGAACAUAAUGAUCCGACGUCAUCUCCCAAUUUUGAAUUCCCUAUAUUCGAAGCGGAAGAAGAUGAUGUUGAAGGAAUUCCUGACGAGAUUUCUCGACUUCUUGAGCAAGAAAAGAAGAUCACUCAGCCGCAUCUCGAGAAUCGGCAGAACAGCCAACUG
rnacentral:lncRNA from 1 species